GAAUGGCAUCACGAGGAUUAUACUGUCUCCUUUUCCCAAUUAGUGAAACUAAUCUCCCCGUGAAGAAGCGGGGGUAACAUUAUAAGACGAGAAGACCCUAUGGAGCUUUAGAUUUAACAACACUUGUUUUCAUUAACUUAAAUUUCAGAACUAUUUAUUUACCUAACAAGAUGAUCGUCAAUCUUAGGUUGGGGUGACCGCGGAGCAUAAAGCAACCUCCAUGCUGAACGACAUAAAUGUCUUAUUCUAGAGCAACCGCUCUAAAAAACAAUAUAUUGACAUCCAUUGACCCAAUUUUUGAUCAACGAACCAAGUUACCCUAGGGAUAACAGCGCAAUCCACUUCAAGAGCUCCUAUCGACAAGUGG
rnacentral:rRNA from 1 species